CCUACGGGAGGCAGCAGUCGAGAAUCAUUCACAAUGGGGGAAACCCUGAUGGUGCGACGCCGCGUGGGGGAAUGAAGUUCUUCGGAUUGUAAACCCCUGUCAUGUGGGAGCAAAUUAAAAAGAUAGUACCACAAUAGGAAGAGACUGCUAACUCUGUGCCAGCAGCCGCGGUAAUACAGAGGUCUCAAGCGUUGUUCGGAAUCACUGGGCGUAAGGCGUGCGUAGGCUGUUUCGUAAGUCGUGUGUGAAAGGCGCGGGCUCAACCCGCGGACGGCACAUGAUACUGCGAGACUAGAGUAAUGGAGGGGGAACCGGAAUUCUCGGUGUAGCAGUGAAAUGCGUAGAUAUCGAGAGGAACACUCGUGGCGAAGGCGGGUUCCUGGACAGUAACUGACGCUGAGGCACGAAGGCCAGGGGAGCGAAAGGGAUUAGAUACCCUAGUAGUC
rnacentral:rRNA from 1 species